rnacentral:rRNA from 1 species
UACGAAGGGAGCUAGCGUUACUCGGAAUCACUGGGCGUAAAGCGCAUGUAGGCGGAAGCACAAGUCAGAGGUGAAAUCCCAGGGCUUAACCCUGGAACUGCCUUUGAAACUGUGUUUCUUGAGUAUGGUAGAGGAUGGUGGAAUUUCUAGUGUAGAGGUGAAAUUCGUAGAUAUUAGAAAGAACACCGGUGGCGAAGGCGACCAUCUGGGCCAUUACUGACGCUGAGAUGCGAAAGCGUGGGGAGCGAACGGG